rnacentral:rRNA from 1 species
UUAAGUUAUUAAGGGCGCACGGUGGAUGCCUUGGCACUAGAAGCCGAUGAAGGACGUUACUAACGACGAUAUGCUUUGGGGAGCUGUAAGUAAGCUUUGAUCCAGAGAUUUCCGAAUGGGGAAACCCAGCAUGAGUUAUGUCAUGUUAUCGAUAUGUGAAUACAUAGCAUAUCAGAAGGCACACCCGGAGAACUGAAACAUCUUAGUACCCGGAGGAAGAGAAAGAAAAUUCGAUUCCCUUAGUAGCGGCGAGCGAAACGGGAAGAGCCCAAACCAACAAGCUUGCUUGUUGGGGUUGUAGGACACUCUNNNNUACGGAGUUACAAAGGACGACAUUAGACGAAUCAUCUGGAAAGAUGAAUCAAAGAAGGUAAUAAUCCUGUAGUCGAAAAUGUUGUCUCUCUUGAGUGGAUCCUGAGUACGACGGAGCACGUGAAAUUCCGUCGGAAUCUGGGAGGACCAUCUCCUAAGGCUAAAUACUCUCUAGUGACCGAUAGUGAACCAGUACCGUGAGGGAAAGGUGAAAAGCACCCCGGAAGGGGAGUGAAAUAGAACCUGAAACCGUGUGCUUACAAGUAGUCAGAGCCCGUUAAUGGGUGAUGGCGUGCCUUUUGUAGAAUGAACCGGCGAGUUACGAUUUGAUGCAAGGUUAAGCAGUAAAUGUGGAGCCGUAGCGAAAGCGAGUCUGAAUAGGGCGUUUAGUAUUUGGUCGUAGACCCGAAACCAGGUGAUCUACCCUUGGUCAGGUUGAAGUUCAGGUAACACUGAAUGGAGGACCGAACCGACUUACGUUGAAAAGUGAGCGGAUGAACUGAGGGUAGCGGAGAAAUUCCAAUCGAACCUGGAGAUAGCUGGUUCUCUCCGAAAUAGCUUUAGGGCUAGCCUCAAGUGAUGAUUAUUGGAGGUAGAGCACUGUUUGGACGAGGGGCCCCUCUCGGGUUACCGAAUUCAGACAAACUCCGAAUGCCAAUUAAUUUAACUUGGGAGUCAGAACAUGGGUGAUAAGGUCCGUGUUCGAAAGGGAAACAGCCCAGACCACCAGCUAAGGUCCCAAAAUAUAUGUUAAGUGGAAAAGGAUGUGGCGUUGCCCAGACAACUAGGAUGUUGGCUUAGAAGCAGCCAUCAUUUAAAGAGUGCGUAAUAGCUCACUAGUCGAGUGACACUGCGCCGAAAAUGUACCGGGGCUAAACAUAUUACCGAAGCUGUGGAUUGUCCUUUGGACAAUGGUAGGAGAGCGUUCUAAGGGCGUUGAAGCAUGAUCGUAAGGACAUGUGGAGCGCUUAGAAGUGAGAAUGCCGGUGUGAGUAGCGAAAGACGGGUGAGAAUCCCGUCCACCGAUUGACUAAGGUUUCCAGAGGAAGGCUCGUCCGCUCUGGGUUAGUCGGGUCCUAAGCUGAGGCCGACAGGCGUAGGCGAUGGAUAACAGGUUGAUAUUCCUGUACCACCUAUAAUCGUUUUAAUCGAUGGGGGGACGCAGUAGGAUAGGCGAAGCGUGCGAUUGGAUUGCACGUCUAAGCAGUAAGGCUGAGUAUUAGGCAAAUCCGGUACUCGUUAAGGCUGAGCUGUGAUGGGGAGAAGACAUUGNGUCUUCGAGUCGUUGAUUUCACACUGCCGAGAAAAGCCUCUAGAUAGAAAAUAGGUGCCCGUACCGCAAACCGACACAGGUAGUCAAGAUGAGAAUUCUAAGGUGAGCGAGCGAACUCUCGUUAAGGAACUCGGCAAAAUGACCCCGUAACUUCGGGAGAAGGGGUGCUCUUUAGGGUUAACGCCCAGAAGAGCCGCAGUGAAUAGGCCCAAGCGACUGUUUAUCAAAAACACAGGUCUCUGCUAAACCGUAAGGUGAUGUAUAGGGGCUGACGCCUGCCCGGUGCUGGAAGGUUAAGAGGAGUGGUUAGCUUCUGCGAAGCUACGAAUCGAAGCCCCAGUAAACGGCGGCCGUAACUAUAACGGUCCUAAGGUAGCGAAAUUCCUUGUCGGGUAAGUUCCGACCCGCACGAAAGGCGUAACGAUUUGGGCACUGUCUCAACGAGAGACUCGGUGAAAUCAUAGUACCUGUGAAGAUGCAGGUUACCCGCGACAGGACGGAAAGACCCCGUGGAGCUUUACUGUAGCCUGAUAUUGAAAUUCGGCACAGCUUGUACAGGAUAGGUAGGAGCCUUUGAAACGUGAGCGCUAGCUUACGUGGAGGCGCUGGUGGGAUACUACCCUAGCUGUGUUGGCUUUCUAACCCGCACCACUUAUCGUGGUGGGAGACAGUGUCAGGCGGGCAGUUUGACUGGGGCGGUCGCCUCCUAAAAGGUAACGGAGGCGCUCAAAGGUUCCCUCAGAAUGGUUGGAAAUCAUUCAUAGAGUGUAAAGGCAUAAGGGAGCUUGACUGCGAGACCUACAAGUCGAGCAGGGUCGAAAGACGGACUUAGUGAUCCGGUGGUUCCGCAUGGAAGGGCCAUCGCUCAACGGAUAAAAGCUACCCCGGGGAUAACAGGCUUAUCUCCCCCAAGAGUUCACAUCGACGGGGAGGUUUGGCACCUCGAUGUCGGCUCAUCGCAUCCUGGGGCUGUAGUCGGUCCCAAGGGUUGGGCUGUUCGCCCAUUAAAGCGGUACGCGAGCUGGGUUCAGAACGUCGUGAGACAGUUCGGUCCCUAUCCGUCGUGGGCGUAGGAAAUUUGAGAGGAGCUGUCCUUAGUACGAGAGGACCGGGAUGGACAUACCUCUGGUGUACCAGUUGUCGUGCCAACGGCAUAGCUGGGUAGCUAUGUGUGGACGGGAUAAGUGCUGAAAGCAUCUAAGCAUGAAGCCCCCCUCAAGAUGAGAUUUCCCAACUUCGGUUAUAAGAUCCCUCAAAGAUGAUGAGGUUAAUAGGUUCGAGGUGGAAGCAUGGUGACAUGUGGAGCUGACGAAUACUAAUCGAUCGAAGACUUAAUCAA